GACUCUUAUCGGGCUUGAUCUUUCUAGUCUGGCCCUGCACUGAUGUCUCAGCCUGAACUUGCACCUUCUUCACUUUCUUCUUCUUGUUCUUCUUUCUUUUCUUAAAGGGUCGAGAAUCAGAAGAUGAACCUCCCACUAAGUUCACUGACUCCUUAUGGAGUUGGUGAUCCUUCUCAAAGUUCUAAAGCAACCCCAGUAACCCAUGAUAGUUUACUUCAGACUUUGUCAUUCUAUAAU
rnacentral:lncRNA from 1 species